GAAUACCGUUGUCAUAAUACGUGAAGUCUUGCUUGAGAAUGCUCCGGACACUUGGUUGUGGAAGGAAGAAUGGAAAUUGUAAUAACAAAAUCCUAAUUCUAAUAGAAUACUAACAAUAUUCUAAUUAGACCAUAAUAAUGCUAAGCAAGCUUAAUCAAAUUUCAAAAAAAACCUCUAAGAAAUUUCAAACAAACAAUAAAAAUUCUUAAAGAAAUAUUAGAAGGAUCACAAAUAUCACUCAAAUAUAUCUCAAUUCAAUCUUAAUUUAAUUCUAAUUAAAAUCCUAUUGAACUUCAUUCAAACUUUAGGCCAAAAAUAAUUGAAUCUUGAAUCCUAAUAAAAUCCUAAAUCCUAAAUCAAACCCUAAACAAACCUUAAACCAAACCCCAAUCAAAUCCUAAAUCAAAUCCUAAUCUAAAUUCUAAAUCCUAAACCAAACUCUAUUCCAAAUCCUAAACCCUAAACCAAAUCCUAACCAAAUUCUAAACAAAUCCUAAUCAAACCCUAAACCAAACCCUAGUAAUUCCUAUAACAGAUUUAAACCUCAAUAACUAAUGAAUAAACCGUUGAUCUUAACUCAAAUUUUUCAUAAUUCUUAAAAGCUAAGUUCAAAAUAAGCAUAAAAAAAUUGAAAAGGAUCGGAGUUACGACAUUGACGAUAACCUCAAAAAUGUGCUCGGGUAUUGGCCGGCCUCCUUCUCCAAUCUUGAUGCCAAUCUUCCAGAGCCAAUAUCUCUCCUUUACACCAUUCGAUUGAUCUCAAAAUUUUUAUACACAUAGAAAAACAAGUCUAAUAUCCUCUCAAAUAAUUUUCACUCCAAUCCAACUAGUAUAUUGUACGGAAUGUCAAAAACCCCUACUGGACCUAAAAUUCUACUUUCUGAGACCUUGAUCCACUUAAACCUCAAUAUUCCUCAAUUUAACCGUUAGAUCAAGCUAAAAUUUACGACACAUAUUAAACACAACUAUAACCAUAAACCCACAAAUUUUCACCCGUAGAUCUAUUACAA
rnacentral:lncRNA from 1 species